rnacentral:lncRNA from 1 species
ACAGGAAAUACGCCUUUUUUCCAAAGCACCGAGGUACUGAGCAGUCUUGCAGGGAUGCCUAAGUGAGAGAGUUGUUCUGAAGAUGUGGAGCACACAAGUGGUGUUUGGAAGAGCGGAGGGCGGAGGAAGGGGAGGUGGUGCCUGUGUUGGAGAAAAGGCAAAGGGAGAGAGCCAGGUUCAGGUGUCUCCUUUGCUGCCGGCCGCCCCAGAGGAGCCGGCCCUGGCUGCUGGGCUGGGGAGUGCAGCCGGCACCAUUUCAGUUGGAGCUGGCACACGGUGUAGCCAGGAAUACCAGCGUCACUGGCUAUGGAAGCCGGAGCCCAAGAGAGCCUGACUCUUUCCCCUUGGGGCAAGUGUGCUGACCUGGGAGGGAAGAGUCGGAGUGGCACUCCCUGGACCCGGGAUGGCUUUUGUCCACGUCACUCAAAGGGGUUAUUGGUAAAGCAGAUGAGCACCGCCGAGUGCUCUCUGCCUGGCCUAAUGAGUCUUGUUCRGUGGGACGACUUGUCCCAAAGGGUCACAGCAUGCCUCCAUGCAGCAGCACUUUUGAGCCUCAGAAAGGCGAGAGAGCACCAAAGGAAUUGUGGGAUGUAAAGGAUCGCCAGAAAGGGGGAGCAAACCCAUCCAAUUGGGAGAACUGGAUUAUGGCCAUCGCAGAACGUAAACAAGGCUGAGAGGCUAAAGAGAGACUCCAAAGCGUGCUCGUUUGCAGUGACGUGGGCACUUUGCUGCUACUGAAACCAAGGAGGCAUUGCAGUCCCCGAGCUUUCACUCCUUCAGAGAUGCUAAGAAAGGGGAAAAAGGAAAUUUCCUGGGAAUGUCAAACACAUUGUGAGAUUAUCAGCCGUGCAGAACACAGUAACAUAUGGCCUUGUGUAAUUUCCUCCAGGUUUGGYGAGUGAGAGAAGCGCAGCUGCUGCAGAUCCAAAAGACGUAUGGAAGCAUCGCGCGAUAGGCACUGCAGCAGCCUUGGGUAUCCUUGUGGCUGGAGCAGUGUUGUGCUGCCUAGUUAUUUUGCUGCGGAGGAAGAGGAAACGGAACCUCCACGCAGCCCAAAGAUCCGGAGCAGACGCCAGCGGCCGCCUCUCGUGCAGGGACAACCGGCCCCCCACCCCGGCGCCCCAGAGAACUGGACCCAACGCCAGCGGCCGCCCCUCGCCCCUGGAAAACCGCCCCGGCCACCCCAGAGAACCGGACCCGUCACGCGCAGGCAGCCGCCCACCCCGGCCGCCCCCGCCGCGGCCCCUGCGGCCCCCCAGCACUGCCCCGGCACCUGGGCACCAGCAGCCAAUGGCCGCGGCCCAGAUGCAGCCGUGGGCAAAGCAGCAGCUGCCACCCGCUGUGCCCGGUGCCGUCCAGCCCCCUGCAAAACCGCCUCCCCCGCCCCCCGGCCCCCCGCCUGUGUUUCCCUGCUGCCGCACUGGAACCAGCUGGAGCCGGUCGAGACCUGGGGGGAUUUAGGUCCGGUUGUGGAG